UACGGAGGGUGCAAGCGUUAAUCGGAAUUACUGGGCGUGAAGCGCACGCAGGUGGCUGAGUCAGUCGAUUGUGAAAGCCCUGGGCUUAACCUGGGAAUUGCAGUCGAUACUACUCAGCUAGAGUAUGGGAGAGGGCAGUGGAAUUCCCGGUGUAGCGGUGAAAUGCGUAGAUAUCAGGAGGAACACCGGUGGCGAAGGCGGCCCUCUGGACGGUGACUGACGCUGAGACGCGAAAGCGUGGGGAGCAAACAGG
rnacentral:rRNA from 1 species